UCGUGUCAAUAGUUAUCCACAAGUGAACAAGAACGCGCCAAACCCAUUUUUUUCCCGCUUUAACAUAUUGAAACGAUUAGUUGUCGCUGUAGCUUCAAAAGUCAAAAAAAGAUGGUCGAACUCUAUUGGGACGACAUGUCGUCCCUAUAGGGAGCCUAUAGCAACGACAAUUGUCGUCCCUACAGAUCUCGUCCCUAUAAGUACUUAUUCUUGUAGUGCAUGACCACCUUCAGAAUAUAGUUCUUUUAGUGCCUGGGUUUGCUGGAUCUAUUCUCAAUGCUAAUGAUGUUGAAACAGGGAAAGAAGAGAUGGUUUGGGGUUCAAAUUUGGGAAUUUGAUUGUCAAUUUUUGUGGGAAACUUUGCUGUCAGUUUGUACUGAUUGAACAAAGUAUGUUCUUAUCUAACACUAAAUUUAUUAAUCAGAUUUCUAAUAUAUCUACAUGCCCUUCCAGAUCAUCUUUCUUGAUGUUUUUUUAUAAUCGUCAUACCCAGGGUAUUUGUAGUCUUGUCAUGGUUCUACUUAAUUAGGAUUUAGAAUAUACGUGUAAGACGCAUUUGUGAAUCAAGGUAAUGGUUUCAAUUUCGGUAUGUCCUUUAAAAGCGGAGUUGUUCUUGAUCAAAAAAUAAGAUAUCUCAAUUACCCUUUAACAACAGUGUCAUCCAAAAAUAUACAGCAAUAGUAGAAUAUCAUUCCAUCUUAAUGUUUAAUGACUAUUGAGUAUUGAUUGCAUGUCUAUCAUCCGAAUAUAAACGUCAAUGAUGUGCUAGAAAUUGAAAAUUUAUAAUGACUAACAAUUCUUGGAGGCUCUUGAAACCUUUUUAAUUGUGUGGUUUGAAAGUUUCCAUUGUGAUUACUUUGUUAUCUCAAGUUUAGUGUGCUAGAAUAUGGAGAUUUGGCAGGAGACAUGUUUCUGAACCUUUGGAUACCACUCGAUAAAUUUGUCGAGGAUGAAAAUGUACUUGCAGGUAAGGAUACAUUAUCUGUCAGAUUAGUAAUAUGGUUUUUGUUGGUUACAUAGAUUGUAAUUAAUUCAUAUGAGAUAUAAUAAGGUUAGGAUGAGGACUUAUUUGUGUUGAGAAUUUAGUAGCAUUUUCCCCAGAUGUUGGUAGACUAGCUACAAGCUCGAGAGUUUCAUGAUCUUUUAAUAUUUUUCUUAGGUUAAAACUAACAGUUUAUUUGUUAUUUUCAUACAAAAAAUGAAAGGGAUUAUUUCAUUAAAUCCUUUUGCGGAAUUGAGAAACCUAGAUUGCAAGUCAACCUCAGACCCUGUGGACUCAUCAAACACUUUCACCACUCCAUUCCGAAACAAAAUACUUCUAUGGAGCAGGUAAUCGUGAUAGGGGAAUGAGCAUGGUAUUUCCAAAGGUUUUUGGAUUCAAGUUGUUGGGGAAAUAAAAUAAUGGUGCAAAAGCUACUGAUUGCGCUUUUUGACAGUCGCCCAAAGGUAUGCAGCAACAAAAACAUGCUAAAAUCCCCUUCCUCAAUAGAUGGAACAAAGUCUCAGCAGAAACACAUGACACCAUUAGUUGAUGCAAGAGUUUUAUAUAGCUGGAAAAAUAAAUCCUUUAUGAGGAUAUCAAACCCUGAGCAUAAUGUAUAUAUAAUAAGUAGUACUACAUGAAUCAUAAAUGCAUAUAUUAUAUCCAACGCAUACCAACUGUUCGAUACAAUGCUCAUGACAAUUCUCUUUCCUUAUGAUCUCAAUUUUAAUAAACUUAUACAUGUACUUUGCAAAAAAGGAAAUGUUUAGGAGAGUGAGUUUUUUCCACAAGUUAUCGAAGUAUUUAUGAAUAUUAUUUGUGUUUAUUUAGCCAACUGUUGGUUGUCUUCAUUUGACAGAAGUGUGUCGGGUGUAAUUUUGAUACCUAUAAAAAGUUUACAUUUUGAUUCUUUUUUUUUUUUUACCUUAAACUUUACUGCUCAAAGAACAUACAAACCCAUCUCAUUUAGAGCUUCAAAAAAACUGCAAAUCGAGGAAGAAGAUGCACAUGGGAGAAACUUUCAGCCAUUAAAGGCAACUGUGGAAACUGACUUGUUCUUGAUGAAUUUGUUGUAAUUUUAAACCACAUGGAUACUUAGAACUAUCAGGCUCGUUCUGCUGGUUUUAAUGUUUUUCUUUUGACUUUGGCCCAAUAUCCACCCCUUGACAGUGGUUUUUCAUAGCAGAUACCAAGUUGGUAUAUAGAAAUUUAGAUAUUUGUUAUUUGUAUUUACAGUUUAUUUUUUGUAUUUGAUCAUUCUUUAGAUCAAAUAAAUCCGAUGGUAACUGACAGCAAAUUCGAGUUUCGUCUAAUAUCUCACCCUCAGCCAAUGCACCUUCGCAAAAUUGUCAUUAACAUCAAAUUUAAAAGUAUCUAUAUACCCACAUUACCAUUAUGCCCUUGUAACCUACCUAUAUGGCCUUUUUAUAAUAAUACAAUGAAAGCAUUUUACCUCAUGCUAUUUCAAGAUUUGGUGUUCAAAUACAGAUCCAUAAACACACUCCAAAUUACCAAAAUUGUCCCUCAACCACACUAAAACCCUAUAUCAAAUCAAGUCUCAUGCCAUAUAAUCACCAUAGCCCUCCAUAUAAUAAGUCUUGAAAGCAUAGAUUACAUUUUCAAACUACAAUGCAUAAACAAGAAAAACAAUCCAUAAACAAAAUACCAUAUAUCUCUAUUUUACACACAUCUAUCCCAAAAUUAUUAAAACAUAACUUUCGAAAUUCCCAAAUUACCCUUCGUGGGCUGUGCUCAGCACGGCCCUCCUAACUUCACUAGUAUAUACAUAUGCUAAAACUAUGGAAUGAUGUUAAAUCAAGUAAAAAAUCAACCAAAUGAUAGCUGGAACAAGGUUUUGAUUACAUAGGGAACAUAUUGGAGGGGCUAUACGACCUUGUAAUAUAUUAUUAUCAGAUAUUGAUGACUGUUGAUAGGAAAGUGGGUUGAGGCAUACUUGUUGGGUAUUUUAUAAACUGAUAUAUAAUUAAUUAAUUAAUAUUGAUGUUACAUAUUACUUAUAUAUACAUCCCGAUUACUAGACAAAAUGUUUAUUUUGAUGACUAUAAAUAUAAUUCAAGAAUGAUCUAAUCUCUUCUCCAAUCUCUCUAUAUGUAGUCAGACUAGUAACUGUAUGGCUGUGUAACUAACCCAUGAGCUACAUUCUAACAACUUACUUCUGUUGACUUUGGACUCCAGCUUUGACUUUUGUUUGACUAAUUUGUUUACUUUUCUUCUGGUAUAUGUAUAUACUAUAUAGUAGAGUAUUGUUAAAAACAACCAACUUAGUAUUGAAUUGUGGAAUAUUAUGCAAAUUUAGGAUAUAUGGUAUACUACUUCUAGCUUAAUUAAGAAGGACAACUGGGGAUUGUUUAUACUUUAUACUUUAUAGUUAUGGCAAGAGUGUAUGUACUAUGUAGUGAGGGGUAUAUAUGUUUGAAAUUGAACUUGCUUAUAUAGUUUUGUCUU